CUUGUAUUGGCUGUCCUUGAUGGGUGUUGCAAUCCAGUCACAGCUAGAUAAACACUCUUCACCCAUCAAUCUCAGAUAUAAAGAGUUCAACAGCUGGAAAGGAUGCAGAACAAAACAGUUUGUAAUCCUAAAAAUAAAACAAUGGUCGUCUCUAUUACCAUCAGCAAUUCUUAUAAAUUCCUUUCAGUGCUAAAGUUAUAUUGUCAUAGUAUAAUAGCAGUCUCUGGGUAUAAUGGCCAUUCAUUAACCAUGCCAAGACCUAGCUAGGAAAAAUGCUCUGUUUAUGCAAACGGCAGUAAGUGAUGUAAGAUUCGAGGGACUAAAUUGAGGAAUGGUGAAUAGAUAGAAUAUAGUGCAGUAUAUUCAUUGGAAAACC